AAUUAUAUCAUCAUGGGGACUUCAGUGUGUUUACACAGUCACGGUGUGGGGACCAAAAUCUUUGUGGGGACCAAAAUCAUGGUCCCCACAACGGAAACCAUGCUAAAUCAGCAGGAGAGAGCCUAUAUAAGGUCUGGAGUGACUAUCAGUGGUGGCCCAUAACUGAUGAUUUUUACCUGGAGUGUGUGUGUGGGAGAUGCUCUACAGCGACGCUAGCGGUCUAGACCAUGCUAUAGCAGGCGAGGAUUCAGACACACACACACGCUGUAAAUUUGCAUAGCGCGGUAACGUACACCUAAUUUGCAUACGGCGCGGGAAAACUUCUAGAGUGAAGACGACGCUGGAAAAGUAACUGGUAAGUUGGAGGCACUUUAUUUCGGUUUCUUAUUUUAUAUUUGCAUGUAAAUAAAUGCAGAUAUUGUAUAUACAAUUAAAUGCAGUAAGUUGUUUUUGGAGAACGUAAGUUUUCGACUACAUUUAAUGUGACAAAUAGUAUAUAAAGUAUGCAAAAAUAAUACCGAACUCGGAAUUUUGUGGUAUUUACGCGCAGUCCUCAGGAGUAGUCGUAUGGCCAAAAGUGAAUAAUUUUAAGUUUUUUCAGUCUCUCUAUAUUAACAAGUAGACAUGUGGCUAGUUAGAGUAUUUUAUUGGAUGUAGUUCUUUGUGUAGUUUGAUUAUUAUUACGCCUUCGAGUGCUUUGUAUCUUAAGUGCUAUCAUAAUGUUUGCUUUACGUCGACAGUAAGCUAAUGCAUUUCGCACGUAGGCUUAAAAUAGUCUACAAAAUACAUUCCUGUUAUUUUAACAUAUUCUUUAUUCUGAAAUAGCUUUGCGAAGUGUCCAGUUUAGUUAAAAUAGAUUUUGUUUGAUGUGUAUCUCGUUUUUAUAAAUGGAAAAACAGGACGUCGAGUAACCAGCUAUAAUAGCGCAUUUGUUUAGCUAGACUGCCAUUGUAGUAAUAUAACAAUAUAGAAAACUGGGUAAGUAAUGUCGUGAGGAUAGUAAAUGUAUUUUUUAUUUUAAAUUGUUCUGUUAACUAUCCGUCAUGAGUGUGAUAGAUACUAUGCAAUGAUUUCAAUUUAUCUUAUGAGGUUUAAUGAUUUUAACUAGUUUAAAAUUAAUUUGCUUUUGAAUUUGCAGAGCUCAAAAUGUCUCGACGAAUCAGUCCUCUAAAUGAUGCUAUUUCACAUGUCGCCACAAAGACAGACAAGAGUACAAAAUUAGAGAUCAAGUACAUAAGUCCGUUAAAAGGCCGUGGAGUGUUCACACUUGCUCCAUUCUUGCACGGGGACUUUAUUGUUGAAUAUAGAGGUGAAUUGAUUAAUUUUGCUGAGUCAAGCAGAAGAAGAGAAGUCUAUCACAAGUCCUGCACAGUCUUUAUGUUUGACUUUAAAUGGAGUAGUCGGACAUGGUGUAUUGAUGCUAGUAUAGAAGAUGGAUCGUUUGGCCGGCUAGUGAACGAUGACCAUCGAAACCCCAAUUGUCGAAUGAAAGUAAUUAAAGUGGAUGGAAAGCCACAUCUGUGUCUUUUUGCAUUAAGAGAUAUAAAAGAGGGAGAAGA